UGGGGAAUAUUAGGCAAUGGGGGAAACCCUGACCUAGCCAUGCCGCGUGCGUGAAGAAGGUCUUAGGAUUGUAAAGCGCUUUCACCGGUGAAGAUAAUGACGGUAGCCGGAGAAGAAGCCCCGGCUAACUCCGUGCCAGCAGCCGCGGUAAUACGGAGGGGGCUAGCGUUGUUCGGAAUUACUGGGCGUAAAGCGCGCGUAGGCGGACCAGAAAGUUGGGGGUGAAAUCCCGGGGCUCAACCCCGGAACUGCCUCCAAAACUAUUGGUCUAGAGUUCGAGAGAGGUGAGUGGAAUUCCGAGUGUAGAGGUGAAAUUCGUAGAUAUUCGGAGGAACACCAGUGGCGAAGGCGGCUCACUGGCUCGAUACUGACGCUGAGGUGCGAAAGUGUGGGGAGCAAACAGGAUUAGAUACCCUGGUAGUCCACACCGUAAACGAUGAAUGCCAGUCGUCGGAUAGCAUGCUAUUCGGUGACACACCUAACGGAUUAAGCAUUCCGCCUGGGAGUACGGUCGCAAGAUUAAAACUCAAAGGAAUU
rnacentral:rRNA from 1 species